rnacentral:rRNA from 1 species
UGGGGAAUAUUGGACAAUGGGCGCAAGCCUGAUCCAGCCAUGCCGCGUGAGUGAUGAAGGCCUUAGGGUUGUAAAGCUCUUUUGUCCGGGAGGAUAAUGACCGUACCGGAAGAAUAAGCUCCGGCUAACUUCGUGCCAGCAGCCGCGGUAAUACGAAGGGAGCUAGCGUUGUUCGGAAUUACUGGGCGUAAAGCGCAUGCAGGCGGAUCGUUAAGUCGAGGGUGAAAUCCCAGGGCUCAACCCUGGAACUGCCUUCGAUACUGGCGACCUUGAGUCCGGGAGAGGUGAGUGGAACUCCGAGUGUAGAGGUGAAAUUCGUAGAUAUUCGGAAGAACACCAGUGGCGAAGGCGGCUCACUGGCCCGGUACUGACGCUGAGAUGCGAAAGCGUGGGGAGCAAA